rnacentral:rRNA from 1 species
GUGUGUUCCAGGUAAAUCCGGUUCACUUUAACACUGAGGCGUGACGACGAGGCACUACGGUGCUGAAGCAACAAAUGCCCUGCUUCCAGGAAAAGCCUCUAAGCAUCAGGUAACAUCAAAUCGUACCCCAAACCGACACAGGUGGUCAGGUAGAGAAUACCAAGGCGCUUGAGAGAACUCGGGUGAAGGAACUAGGCAAAAUGGUGCCGUAACUUCGGGAGAAGGCACGCUGACACGUAGGUGAAGUGAUUUACUCAUGGAGCUGAAGUCAGUCGAAGAUACCAGCUGGCUGCAACUGUUUAUUAAAAACACAGCACUGUGCAAACACGAAAGUGGACGUAUACGGUGUGACGCCUGCCCGGUGCCGGAAGGUUAAUUGAUGGGGUCAGCGCAAGCGAAGCUCCUGAUCGAAGCCCCGGUAAACGGCGGCCGUAACUAUAACGGUCCUAAGGUAGCGAAAUUCCUUGUCGGGUAAGUUCCGACCUGCACGAAUGGCGUAAUGAUGGCCAGGCUGUCUCCACCCGAGACUCAGUGAAAUUGAACUCGCUGUGAAGAUGCAGUGUACCCGCGGCAAGACGGAAAGACCCCGUGAACCUUUACUAUAGCUUGACACUGAACAUUGAGCCUUGAUGUGUAGGAUAGGUGGGAGGCUUUGAAGUGUGGACGCCAGUCUGCAUGGAGCCGACCUUGAAAUACCACCCUUUAAUGUUUGAUGUUCUAACGUGGACCCGUGAUCCGGGUUGCGGACAGUGUCUGGUGGGUAGUUUGACUGGGGCGGUCUCCUCCUAAAGAGUAACGGAGGAGCACGAAGGUUGGCUAAUCCUGGUCGGACAUCAGGAGGUUAGUGCAAUGGCAUAAGCCAGCUUGACUGCGAGCGUGACGGCGCGAGCAGGUGCGAAAGCAGGUCAUAGUGAUCCGGUGGUUCUGAAUGGAAGGGCCAUCGCUCAACGGAUAAAAGGUACUCCGGGGAUAACAGGCUGAUACCGCCCAAGAGUUCAUAUCGACGGCGGUGUUUGGCACCUCGAUGUCGGCUCAUCACAUCCUGGGGCUGAAGUAGGUCCCAAGGGUAUGGCUGUUCGCCAUUUAAAGUGGUACGCGAGCUGGGUUUAGAACGUCGUGAGACAGUUCGGUCCCUAUCUGCCGUGGGCGCUGGAGAACUGAGGGGGGCUGCUCCUAGUACGAGAGGACCGGAGUGGACGCAUCACUGGUGUUCGGGUUGUCAUGCCAAUGGCACUGCCCGGUAGCUAAAUGCGGAAGAGAUAAGUGCUGAAAGCAUCUAAGCACGAAACUUGCCCCGAGAUGAGUUCUCCCUGAGACUUAGAGUCUCCUGAAGGAACGUUGAAGACGACGACGUUGAUAGGCCGGGUGUGUAAGCGCAGCGAUGCGUUGAGCUAACCGGUACUAAUGAACCGUGAGGCUUAACCUUACAACGCCGAAG